rnacentral:rRNA from 1 species
UGGGGAAUAUUGGACAAUGGGCGCAAGCCUGAUCCAGCCAUGCCGCGUGUGUGAAGAAGGCCUUCGGGUUGUAAAGCACUUUUGUCCGGAAAGAAAUCCUGUCGGCUAAUACCCGGCGGGGAUGACGGUACCGGAAGAAUAAGCACCGGCUAACUUCGUGCCAGCAGCCGCGGUAAUACGAAGGGUGCAAGCGUUACUCGGAAUUACAGGGCGUAAAGCGUGCGUAGGUGGUUUGUUAAGUCUGAUGUGAAAGCCCUGGGCUCAACCUGGGAACUGCAUUGGAUACUGGCUUACUAGAGUGCGGUAGAGGGUGGCGGAAUUCCCGGUGUAGCAGUGAAAUGCGUAGAUAUCGGGAGGGACAUCCGUGGCGAAGGCGGCCACCUGGACCAGCACUGACACUGAGGCACGAAAGCGUGGGGAGCAAACAGGAUUAGAUACCCUGGUAGUCCACGCCCUAAACGAUGCGAACUGGAUGUUGGGAGCAACUAGGCUCUCAGUAUCGAAGCUAACGCGUUAAGUUCGCCGCCUGGGAAGUACGGUCGCAAGACUGAAACUUAAAUGAAUUGACGGGGUCAUAGCUGUUUCC